rfam:Heterocephalus glaber contig121533, whole genome shotgun sequence.
GGGUGUGAGAGCGAUCUGGCUGCAACAUCUGUCACCCCAUUGAUCUCCAGGGUUGAUUCGGCUGAUCUGGCUGGCUAGGUGGGUGUCCCCUUCCUCCCUCACCAUUCCAUGCGUGUCGCUCCAGAAGCUGCGUGCUGGGUCGAAGAGGAUGACCACCCCUGAUAGAGGAGGACCGUUUCCUCGGUCAAGGGUAUAGGAGCAGCUGCGUUCCCCUACUAGAACCUCCAAUCAAGCUCUCAAGAAUAAACACAUAGAUCAAUGAAAUGGGAUAAAAGUCCCUAAGAUACACUGUUUAAAUAUAGUCCACUAAUUGUU